GUCCUGUUUGGGCAGUACCUAUGCUAAACCUGGAACAAUGCAGAGAAGAUUAGCAUGGUCUGUAUGCAAGGAUGACAUGCAAUGCACAUUCAUGAACCAUUACACA